GACGGGAAGUGUGGUGGAGACGGGCCAGGGCAGACGGUGAACAGAUCACCAGGCGGAAUCCAAGCAGCAGUGCAGCAGGCAACGGGAUCAGUCGUUUCCCUCCAAAGGCUUCGCAGCAACAAAGCAACAGUAUGAGAGAGCCUGGCAAUGGUUGCCAUGGCAACCAUCCUGAUUGGGAGCUGGCGCAGUAGGCUACCAGAGAAAGAAGGAAACGUGGGAAGAAGAUGAAGUCGUGGAUCAAAGUCUUGUUGAGUCAUGUCAUCUUCACUUCCUGCUGUGACUGAAGUUGGUAGCAUAUAGAUUUCAAAACAGGUAUCACGUCCUAAGCUCAACUCUAUUUUGGAAUCUACCUGUGACAGAAACAUGUAAAAACCCUGAACACAAACAUAGCAAUCUAUUUUCAUAUCCUACAAAAACAUAAUUUUUUUAAACUGGCCGGCUACUGUGAAUAAAACACAACAGAAAAACAAUUUCCAACAGUAGCUAGGUUUCCAUCCAAUUGGCGACAGAUUUUCAAGUGACUAUUCUAUAAUCUGCAUAAAGAAAAUAUGUGCAUUUUCCCACCAGUGGUACACUACAUGGCCAAAAGUAUGUAGACUCCUGCUUGUCAAACAUCUUAUUCCAAAAUCAUGGGCAUUAAUAUGGAGUUAAUCCCGCGUUUGCUGCUAUAACAGCCUCCACUCUUCUGUUAAGGCUUUCCACUAGAUGUUGGAACAUUGCUGCAGGGACUUGCUUCCAUUCAGACACAAGAGCAUUAGUGAGGUUGGGCACUGAUGUUGGGAGAUUAGGCUUGGCUCGCAGUCGGCGUUCCAAUUCAUCCCAAAGCUGUUCAAUGGGGUUGAGGUCAAGGCUCUGUGCAGGCCAGUCAAGUUCUUCCACACCGAUCUCGACAAACCAUUUCUGUAUGAACCUCGCUUUGUGCAUGCGGGCAUUGUCAUGCUGAAACAGGAAAGGGCCUUCCCCAAACAGUUGCCACAAAGUUGGAAACACAGAAUCAUCUCUAGAAUGUCAAUGUAUGCUGUAGCGUUAAGAUUUCCCUUCACUGGAACUAAGGGGCCUAGCCCGAAUCAUGAAAACCAGCCCCAGACCAUUGAAAAGGUGGCAUCCUUUGACAGUGCCACAUUGAAAGUCACUGAGCUCUUCAUUAAGGCCAUUCUACUGCCAAUGUUUGUCUAUAGAGAUUUGAAUGACUGUGUGCUCAAUUUUAUACACCUGUCAGCAACGGGUGUGUCUGAAAUAGUGUCCACGCACUUUUGAAUACAUAGUGUACAUUUCCACCUCAUGCGGAUUAAAUAGCAUUGCAUGAUAAAGUAGUACACACAAAAUGUACUUUUUCGCUUAAGUUUUCAUGUACCGAAUAAAAAUCUAAAGUUCAA